GGUGGUAAUGCCGGAUGCUCCAGCUCAUCGCAUGGUGUUCUGGGAAAGCCUUUGCGGCAUGGGAUGGGGUCGCGUCCUAUCAGCUUGAUGGCGGGGUAACGGCCCACCAUGGCUUCGACGGGUAGCCGGCCUGAGAGGGCGACCGGCCACAUUGGGACUGAGAUACGGCCCAGACUCCUACGGGAGGCAGCAGUGGGGAAUAUUGCACAAUGGGCGCAAGCCUGAUGCAGCGACGCCGCGUGAGGGAUGGAGGCCUUCGGGUUGUAAACCUCUUUUGUUAGGGAGCAAGGCAUUUUGUGUUGAGUGUACCUUUCGAAUAAGCACCGGCUAACUACGUGCCAGCAGCCGCGGUAAUACGUAGGGUGCAAGCGUUAUCCGGAAUUAUUGGGCGUAAAGGGCUCGUAGGCGGUUCGUCGCGUCCGGUGUGAAAGUCCAUCGCUUAACGGUGGAUCCGCGCCGGGUACGGGCGGGCUUGAGUGCGGUAGGGGAGACUGGAAUUCCCGGUGUAACGGUGGAAUGUGUAGAUAUCGGGAAAGAACACCA
rnacentral:rRNA from 1 species